rnacentral:rRNA from 1 species
AGGGCACCACCAGGAGUGGAGCCUGCGGCUUAAUUUGACUCAACACGGGGAAACUCACCCGGCCCGGACACCGUAAGGAUUGACAGAUUGAUAGCUUUUUCAUGAUUCGGUGGAUGGUGGUGCAUGGCCGUUCUUAGUUCGUGGAGCGAUUUGUCUGGUUUAUUCCGAUAACGAGCGAGACUCUGGCCUACUAAAUAGUUGGCGCAUUGCCUCUGUGCGCACAACACUUCUUAGAGGGAUUUUCGGUGUUCAGCCGCACGAAAUUGAGCAAUAACAGGUCUGUGAUGCCCUUAGAUGUCCGGGGCUGCACGCGCGCUACACUGGCAAAAUCAGCGUGCUUGUCCUUCCCCGAAAGGGGUUGUGGUAAACCCGUGAAAAUUUGCCGUGAUUGGGAUCGGACAUUGCAAUUAUUGUCCGUGAACGAGGAAUUCCUUGUAGGGGCGAGUCAUCAACUCGCUCUGAAUACGUCCCUGCCCUUUGUACACACCGCCCGUCGCUGCCCGGGACUGAGCCAUUUCG